rnacentral:rRNA from 1 species
GGGUCAGUAGGUUGGUCGUGCCACCGGUACGUACUGGUCUCACUGAUUCCUCCUUCCUGAAGAACCGUAAUGCCAUUAAUUUGGUGUUGCGGGGAAACAGGACUGUUACCUUGAAAAAAUUAGAGUGUUUAAAGCAAGCUAACGCUUGAAUACAUUAGCAUGGAAUAAUGAAAUAGGACGAUCGAUCCUAUUUUGUUGGUUUCUAGUAUUGACGUA